CUAGCCAUGCUAGUCGCGCGAGUCCAACCACUGUAGGUACAAGCGGCAGACCGUCAUCANCUAACACGAUAGUCNUAACCAUACCCCUCAGGUACGAUGGUAUACCCCCGGGAAACUGGGGCUAAUCCGCNAUAGGUGUGGAGGCCUGGAAUGGUUCCACNCCCAAAGGCACAACGAUCAUGUUUGUUGUGUGCCUGAGGAUGGGGCUGCGGCCGAUCANGCANUUGGCGAGGUAACGGCUCACCAAACCUUUGACCGGUACGGGCCAUGAAAGUGGUAGCCCGGAGACGGGCACUGANACAGGGGCCCAGGCCCUACGGGGCGCAGCAGGCGCGAAAACUCCACAAUGUACGGAAGUACGAUGGGGUUAUCUCGAGUGCAGUCCGAUAAGGGCUGCUUUUCCAUAGAGUAAUAUCCUGUGGGAAUAAGCGGGGGGGGCA
rnacentral:rRNA from 1 species